AACUAAGACAGGAGUCUUUUCAGGUUGAUCUAUGUGUCUUCUGACAUAAUUCACAUGGCUUCUCUCUAACAUUUUAUUAUGGAAAAACUUCAAGCACAUAGAAAACAUUGGAAGAAUUGUACAAUGAACAUCUGCAUUCCUGGUGCCUAGACCAGUAACGGUGAACCUUUUAGAGCUUUCAAUAAUAUACACAGCCUAUUGCAGCACACAUGUAUAAGUUCACCACUACUGGCCUAGACUGUCCCAAUAACAUCUUCUCUGUUUGAUCUAUCAAAUGUCUGCCCAUUUCUCUAUCCUCCCACCAACAUAUUUUAUACAUCCUUGUGUUUUCUUUUUAUGAUUAGUGCCUAUUAGUUUUAUCAGUGCAUAUAAUAUGUUUUGGUCUUAUCUAUUCCCCCAUUACCCUCCUUUAUACCUCUCUCCUGUCCUUAUUCCCCUUCUCUUGUGUAAUAAUGGUCCCCCUUAUAAUUUCAUGUCAUCUUUUUCAGAUUUAAUAUAUUGGGAAAAACAUGAGCUACUACAUUUAUCUUUCUGGGUCUGGCUUAUUUCAUUUAUCAGCGACCCCUGCAGUGGAUACUGAUCUCCUGCUCAGUGCUACCAUGCAUGGCAAGAAGAAAAACUUAAGAGACAGAGAUAUGGGGAGCCAGGAUGACCAAUGCUUGUACAAGCGAAGCUGGAUAAGCAAAGGCCCUGAACACCCAGAGCUGAUGAUUUUUAUUGGUGAUAUCAUAGUUAGAUUGAGUUGUAGGGGCAAAAUGGUACCUGCUCAACAUUCAGUGACUUUAUGGCUGAAAGAAAUAUGUGUGGAGUAGCUCUGGAUGAGAAGAGGAAGAGGAGGAGAAAAAGAGGAAGAAGAGGAAGAGAAGGAAGAGGAAGGAUAAAAGUGGAUCUGAAAGUGUUAUCUUAGGUUUUUUGUAAAAUUAUUUUCACAUGUUGAAUUAGCCUGUGGACUUUUUUGAUUAAGAGCACA
rnacentral:lncRNA from 1 species